rnacentral:rRNA from 1 species
AAUCAACGCUGGCGGCGUGCCUAACACAUGCAAGUCGAGCGGGAAAGGGGCUUCGGUCCCGUGAGUAUAGCGGCGGACGGGUGAGUAACACGUGGGUAAUUUGCCCUUGGGUGUGGAAUAACUCAGGGAAACUUGAGCUAAUACCGCAUGACAUCCCCUUCACACACGAGUCGGGGAUCAAAGCCGGGGACCCUUCGGGGCCUGGCGCCUGAGGAGAAGCCCGCGCCCGAUUAGCUAGUU